rnacentral:lncRNA from 1 species
AAGAAGAAGAAGGAACUACAACUGCGAACACGAACACAACUCUGACCACAAGUGCUGCAGCAACAACGAAAAUGUCCAUCGCCAGUUGCUUCUUUGCCUCCGCGUCUCUCUCCACAAUCUCUAACAACAACACCCCAGAACUCAAUCUCAACCGUCCAUCUCCUCUCCCCCUCCGCCUCUCCGUCACGUCACCACCCUCCUCCUCCUCCUUCACCACCCCUCUCUCCCUCCACCUCCACCACCACCGCCGACCACCCACCCCCCUUUUCCUCGCCUUCUCCACCCCCACCUCCUC